AUUAGCUUCUCUUUACAUGAGAAUUAGCUUCUCAGCACAGACCUAAGAUUUCUAGAGACUCAACUCAUCUACACUAGAUUUUAUCAUUCCACCUUCACCUCUACUCCUUCUGACCCUGCUUAGCCAUGCCAGUAAAAGGAGCUCCACUUGAAGUUGGAAUAUGGAAUAAACUUUUGCUUCCUCCAGUCAGUGGAGUGGUGUGUGUGGCAGCCUGAGAGGCAGGCUACUUCAAGAGAGAUAGCUACUAACACUUAUUUGAACAGUGGCAGGCUACAUGUCUUCUCUCCAAGUCUCAGUUUCCUCAUUUGAGAAAAUAUACAUUUUUGUAUAUUUCAGCUUAAUCCAUGAUAGAUUUGAAGCCACCUGAAAUUAAAAGCUGAGCUGAGGUCCUUCAAGUACUCAUAUUCUGUGCUUUCUUUGCCCAUAAACAUAGGGAGCUGUUUAGAUGAGGUCAUAUGAACAUUCUAGUUCAGCAUUUACUUUAUGGCAAUAAAGUAUAGAACAGGGAACCAGCACAAUAUUUAGACAUAUUUGCCAACAACAAACAGCUGGGUGCUCAAGCCUGCCUUUGCUCCUCCUCCCCAGCCUGGAGGUCUUUCUUUUCAAGAACUUUUCUGGUCCCGUGGCACCACCUUAUGGUUUCAGUGGAUAACUACUUGACCAGUCUUGUCACUAUUCCCUUUUACAAGAGGUACGGCCUGUCACACCACCUGUUUUUCCUGUUCUCAGACCAGUCUACAGAGCACUCUUCUAUACGUUAUUCCAUUUGGUGCUUACAACAAUCCAGUGGGCAAUCAGAGAGUGUAUGUAUGAGCCCCAUGUUAUAGAUGAAAACAUUAAAGCUCGGAUAAUUCACCGAUCCUCCAUCCUCAAGAAGGCAAAGCUGUAAGAGAAAGGCCACUUGGAUUCCCAAAACGCCAUUUGGAAAAGAGUAGCCCUGGAGAUCAGCUGAUAUUGUGUAAGGAAGAAAUAAAUAUUUAUGUGUUAUCUCA